rnacentral:rRNA from 1 species
CCAGACUCCUACGGGAGGCAGCAGUGAGGAAUAUUGGCCAAUGGGCGGGAGCCUGAACCAGCCAAGUCGCGUGAAGGAAGAAGGUACUUAGUAUUGUAAACUUCUUUUGUCGGGGAACAAAGGCGGAGACGCGUCUCCGGAUGAGUGUACCCGAAGAAAAAGCAUCGGCUAACUCCGUGCCAGCAGCCGCGGUAAUACGGAGGAUGCGAGCGUUAUCCGGAUUUAUUGGGUUUAAAGGGUGCGUAGGCGGGCUUUUAAGUCAGCGGUAAAAAUUCGGGGCUCAACCCCGUCCGGCCGUUGAAACUGGGGGCCUUGAGUGGGCGAGAAGAAGGCGGAAUGCGCGGUGUAGCGGUGAAAUGCAUAGAUAUCACGCAGAACCCCGAUUGCGAAGGCAGCCUUCCGGCGCCCUACUGACGCUGAGGCACGAAAGUGCGGGGAUCGAACAGGAUUAGAUACCCGAGUAAG